AUGCUAUUCAAAAAUGUUCAUGCUCUUUGGAUAAUGUUGGGAACAACAACCAGAGGUGAUGCACAUUUUUGCUACUCAUUUUGGAUUUUUGAAUCAAUGCAUAAAUAUUUGAUUUGGAGCUAUUUAAAUUAUAUAAAUAUUUUAAUGGCUCCAAAAAUGUUGGGAAUUGGUGAGGGCCUCUGGAAUAUUAUAUCUAGAUGCCACAAAUAUUUUCAGGAUUUAUGGAAAUGUUUUAACAUUUCUUUUAGAUACAAAACAAAUGUCAGAAAUAGAAAAAAGAAAACAAGAGAUAAGACAACACUUACCUGGCGCUUACCUGGUGGCCCAACAGGACCGGCCCAGCUAGGCCCAACCCACCACCGCAGCUUCGCUGUCGUCUUCCUCCCCGGAUAG
rnacentral:rRNA from 1 species